rnacentral:misc_RNA from 1 species
AAAACCACCUCACAGAUAAUGUGGUAUUGGUAGAAGUGGGUAGUACUAACAACAGUACUUGCUCCUACUCUACUGAAAUCAAUAGGCCAGAAAAGUGGACCAUGGUAACAGACUCUCAGAGUGUUUUAAAAUGCUAAACUAGUCUUAUCCAGGUUGAAAUCUGAGCCACUGGACCCCCAUUUAGUCCAAAACAGAGA